UUGGUAAAUUCCAAUUGCUGCUGAUUCUGAAUCUCCAGGACCCAUGUGACAUGUGAAAAAAUGUUCCUAAACUUCUACGAUCUUCCUAAUCUAGAAGCUGGUGUGGCCUGGUGGAUGGCUGGUGCUCAGGGCGGAGGGGUGACUGGAUCAAGUGGAUAUCAUUUCCUGAGCAUCUCCCAAGCCAGCUUUAGUUACAUUGAUGUAUUCAUUUAUCUAUUUUGGUACUAGGGGUUGAACCCAGGGGUGUUUUACCCUGAAGCUACAUCCCCAGCCUUUUAAAAAAAAUUUUUGUCAUAGGGUCUUGCCAACUUGCUGAGGAUGGCCUUGAACUUUCGAUCCUCCUGCCUCCGCCUCCUGAGUCCCUGGGCUCAAGGCAUGCGCUGCCACAUCAUUGCAUUUAUUACCCUUUAAUCAAGUAGCAGCGUUCUUCCUGGCAUUCCAGGAAGAGAUGUAAGAAGGUCACCUCUCAUCAGAGGCCAUUCUGCUUCUCCAGGCUUCCCUUCCCGCGUCCUCAGCCUGGGGCACUCGGAGGAAAUGCGCCACAGCAGGCCAUCUCUGGUCUGUAGCUGUCAGCCCUAUUCCUUGAUCCCCCCAGUCCUCCAGUCCUGCUGCAGCUGGCUCAGCCUUCCCCUGGAGCCGGUGUGGUCCGUGCUCCUCCAGGGCCUGAUCUCUGGGCUCUCUGGGGCACCUCUGGAGAGGUGGCAGCUGUGGAUCUGCUGCCCCUGAGGGGGAGGGAAGCAGGGCCGCCCCUCCCAUCGGGCCUGUGCUCCUCGGUUGCAGUUCUGGGAAAUGACCAGGUCUGAGGAGGAAGCGGGAGCCGUGGGUUGGCAGUGCCACGCGGCUGUGGGCCCAAGGUCUUCCUGGCCAGGGUGCUUGAGGACAGGAAGUGGCGAGGGUGUGGCCUCAGACCUGGGCUUGGCAGGGAGGAUGGGAUCCAGUCUGCAGGUCAUUCCUGUGUUUGAGAAAAGAUGCUAACUGGCCUCGCAGGAUGAUUAUUCCUGGGCUUGCUGCCAUCCGAGUGGCUCUGUAAGGUGACAUGGUGGUUAGUGACACUCAGGCCCGGGGACAAGCGCACAGAGUUCUGGUUUGGCAUUCCGUCUCCCUCCAGGGUGAGAACCCUGGGCAACUGUCUUCUUGGCUGCUCUUGGCAAUGCAACCUCUGACGUGGUUUGAAGUCAUGGGUCCCCUCUGGAUGUCUCUUAAGUCCGUAUUACAGGGCUCUUGGUGUAAUGGACACACACAUCCAAGACAGCACCACUGUCAGUGACUCUCCACUUGAAUCUCUCAAAAACAUAGUGCUGCACCACAUGCAGUUACUGAGCAGAUUGUCACCAGACGGCUCAGUUUGCUCCUGGCAUCUCAGUCACAGCUGAAAAGGAGAAAGCCAGAGAACGCAGUGGACCCUCAAAAGGACUCUGAGAGGGGACAGACCUCGGGAGCUGACCUCUGCUGCUCGACCCUCUCUCUAGAAAGCGUGCUACCCCCUGCAUCCUGUGCUGUGUCCUCGCUCUGGGGACAGGUUUGUCUGGGUGGCUGUGAGGAAUCUAAAAGGAAACAUGGCUCUGUCCCUGGACUCCUGCUUCCCAGGUGGGCAGCCAGAGGACACGGAGGUGCAAACGUGGGUCGCAAGGGCAGCCGCUCCGAGGGAGGGUACGUGUCCCCUCCAAGUGAGCACUCGCCGUGUCUUAUGGGUGUUUUAGAUAUUAAUGAGCAGACGGAGGAGGAAGAAGGACAGGAAGGUCUUCACACAUCCCUAGGAAUCUCCAAACCGCGCUGGGCCAGCCGUUAAAACACAAGCAGAACACGAAAGAGUUCCCAGCUUUUAUGCAAGAAAAGGUUGAUUUACAGAGUUGGGUGAAAUGGCACCAAACUAUUGGGUUAUUACUGCUUUUUUCUUCUAUUCCUUAUAUUACAGACCUUAGGACAUGUGAUUAAAAAAUGUUUAAAAAGGAAAACAGUAAGGCUUGACACCCAGAAUAAUUGAUUUUUAGAACUGAUAGGUGGAAUUAUGAGAAAUGAGAGACUUAAAUUAUUAAAAUAAGUGUAAAUUCUGUGAUCGAUGCAAAUAAUUUCAACACCAGUAAUGCAAAGUACACUAUCAGUGCCGAAGGCUCACCUGCGUGGAACCUUCCCUGACCUCUGCUCCCCUGUGUCCUUAGCCAUGUCUGGGAACGGGCCAGGGACACGGGAGGAUGCCAUUCACAGAGUGAGAGACUGGGUAAAGCCAUCCCCCAGAGUGACUCCAGGCCCCUGGUUGGACUUCCCUCUGAAGCACCUGCUCCUUCCUCCUUGCUCUGCAUCCUCUCCUGCCUUCCUUUCUUUUCCCUCUCUCAUUCCCACCUCUGUCCCCCCCUUGGUUUUUAACCCUUUCUUCACUUUCUCAUAACUCACCCCUGGGUCUGUGGAUCGUCUUGUCGGGUGACGCACUGAAAACCUCUGCUGCUGCUGUUCUCAGAAUCUAAGGCGUGGGACUCGGAAGGUCCCCGAUUCACAGUCUGAUGCAGAUAUGAACAGGUGAGAUGCAGGAACUCGGUCUGAGUAAAUGUCACUGAACUGUGACACAACUCUUCUCCACGGAAGAAGAAAAAAGGGUACGAAGGAAUGACAUUGAUUGUACACACACUCAUGCAGGCAUGUGUGGACACACACACACACACACACACACACACACCUGUAUUUCCCUUAGUGAGGACCCCAUGUUUAGUCAUGUUGGAAAGAAGCCCAGCACACCUCAGUUCUUUUCCAUCAAUUUGGGUCGACCUACAGUGGCAGAAUGUUCUGAAGUCUUAGCUACUGAGAGGUUCAUGUGUUCUCUCAAGAAGUCUCUGAAUUGGGGAUGAGUAUCUAGAAUAUAGAAAGAACUGAAAAAUCAAACAACCCAAUUAUUAAAUGGGAGUAUAAAUUCCUCAAAACAAGAAAUACAAAUGAGCAACAAAUAUAUGAAAAAGUGUUUACCAUAAUUAGCAAUUAGGGAAAAGCAAUUCAGAACCGUGCUGAGAUUUCAUCUCACACCAGUCAGAAUGGCAGUCAUUAAGAAAAGAAAAAUGCUGGAGAGGACGUGGAGACAAAGGAGCACUGUCACACUGCUGGUGGGACUGUCAAUCCAUACAGCCACCAUGGAAAUCCGCAUGGGGUUCCUCAGAAGUCUAGGCAUAGAACCACCAUGGACCCAGCUGUCCUGCUCCUCAGUAUUUAUCCUGAAGAGUCGAAGUCUCAGUGAUUCGUCACACCCCUGUUUACAGCAGCUCAAUGCACAAGGGCCCACCAUGGGGCCAGCCUAGGUGUCCACCAGUGGAUGAAUCCAUUAAGAAAGUGUGGCCUAUAUACACAGUGGAGUUUUACUCAGUUAAAAAGAAUUAAACAUCAUUUGCAUGGAAAAUGGAUGGAACUUGAGAACAUUAUGUUAAGCUAAAUAAAACCCAAAUUCAGAAGUUCUUUUUUUUUUUUUUGUACCAGGGACUGAACCCAGGGGUGCUUAACCACUGAGCACAUCCCUAGCCCUUUUUAAUUUUGUAUUUUGACAGAGUCUCACCAAGUUGCUGAGACUGGCCUUGAACUUGAGAUCCUCCUGCCGUAGCUCCUGAGUUGCUGGGGUUCAGGUGUGUGUCACCGUGUCUAGCAGGUCAUAUGUUUUCCCUCCUGUGUGGACGCUAGAGAGGAAAAAGGAAAAGAAAGCUGGGGAUCUCAUGAAAAUGGAAGGGAGAUCUGAGAAGGAACCAGGGAGUGGGGGUGGGGGAAGUGAUGGGAAGGGAGGUUGGCCAGGUGAUGUUGUUCUAUUGUGUCAUACACACAUGUGUGACAACAAAUCUUACUAUAUGCACAACUAUAAUGCACCCAUAAAAAUGUUACCAAUCCCUGAAAACAACAAUGACAAAGAAGUCUCUGUAUUGGGCAGGAAAGUAGCUCCGUGGUCAUGGUGGAACUCCUGCCCAGCAGGCACAGGCUCUGAACUCAAUCCUUACUACUGGGGAAAAACAAAAACAGAGCUCUCUGCGGAACACAGCACUGUCUUUACAGUUUGGAGUGUUGGUGGGACCGGGUCAUGAUCAAUUAGGCCCUUGAACUGGAUGCUCUGAGGGGCUCCCUGUCCUUUAAAAUGCUCAGACUUGUUAUCUUCAAAAAGAAGCAGGAUCAGGAGGAAGCCAGGCCGCAAGUGCAGAGUAACAAUUCCACCUGGAAUCAAGCUCCGUGUGGCUGUAGGUGCACUUCAAGAGAGGGAUUGCCUUGAACAGACAGAGAAAACUCAUACUGCUCUCUUUAUCCCCUUAGUGCUCCCAAAGCCUUGUUGGACCGCUGAUUACAGAACAACUUGGCAUGCGUCAGUUGAGGUCCAUCAUCUCAAAUCGUGAAAACACUUAGACUCAGGAUCCAGAAUGAAACUGUCUGGCGGAGUGAGCGUCAGCACCUGACCCUCACCGUCAGCUCAAGGAUGUGGUCAGUGUGGAAUCCUGUGACCAUCGAUCUCCCUUCUGGCCAUCUGAGUAGUUUACCUAGUGAGGUUAAGAAAUGCACAAGGAUGUUUUUUGAUCAGACAGUCAGCAGCACCUACUGCAGGUUCAUUAGGGGACAUGUGUCCAACCUACCUCUGCCAUCUCCCUGGGCUGCUUAGGAGACAAGGAAGGAGGGGUAUCGCAUCCUUAGAACAUAGCUAAGCUUUCAGCUAGUUUCUGUGUACUGGAGUCCACGUAUACCUUUACUUAAAAAAACUGUGCUGCUGAAAUUAUUUAAAAAUUCACCAUGGUGAAUGAAAGUUUGAUACUAUGGCAAAUGUUCAUUCAUAUAAGCUGAGACAAGAAGACUAUAAAACCAGAAGAUAGAAUGAAACGAGUUCUGUAAACCCAUGACAAGAAAAGCAAACCAAGGCCAGAAUCCCUGGAAAGGCAAAAGAGCUAUCUGUGGUCUCUGUGUGUGCACGUGUGUGCCCUAACCCUACCUUCCCCAAAAAUCCAGCCCAAAUGUGAACUAUUUGCUCUGCUCUGUCUGGCUCAGUGCAUAAAGGCUACAGGAAGAGAGUGUACUUAUUGCUCAAGAUAAUGAUAAUUUAUAUUAAAAACUAAAUGCAGGCAUGUGAGCAGGAAGGGGAAAUUGCGUCAUUAAUUACCUGGUUAUCUUAUCGGGCUGGAGUUCUGGGUUUUCUGGAAUGCAGAGCGGCUGCAGGAGCCUUGCUGAGGGCUCAGGAGGCAGCCAGUGCAGUGGGGCUGCAGCCCCUUGGCUCUGCAUUCUGCCGGGAGCAGCCCCGCCCCAGGCCCUGCGCACACCCUCUGUCUAGAGCCUGGUUCCAAACUUCCUCAGGGAGGCCGACUCCUGAGAUCUGGAGGGGACCUAGGAAGAGGUGCUGCUGGUUGCAGUGGUUUCCCUCUGGGGAAGAAUGGACAGUUCCAGAGCCCUUCGUCCAGCCCACCAGGCUGCUCAGUGCCCCUUGCCGGCCAGACUCUCUUGUCUUGUCCUUUGCAGAAAUAAGCUAUAGAAGUAUGUAAUUCUGGUGAAAUAUGAAUUUAUGUUGGAAAAGGAAAGCAAAUAACAAGAACACAAAGUGCGGUGUGUGCAACCAUGUAUUCAAUAUUAAAAAUAUUUUUAUUCCUUUCAACUAGGACAAAAUAAAUUCAUUGUAUGGAAAAUGUUUAUUUUUCUAAUUUAAGUGCAGAUUCGGAUCUUAAUUCUGUUAUUAUUUUGUUUUUCCUGGAAUGUCUAUGCUCAGAACCCAAUUUCUGUUUCUUGAUCUUCUAAAGACAAGCACAUGUGUGGCAAAUGUGUCUACAUGACUUAUUACAGGGAUUCACACCUAUGCCUUCGUUUCGUCACAUGAAACCCUGUGGCACAGGUUGGGCACAGGAGGAGAGUAGAGAGUCAAACGAGCGGAAACAGGCUAGGCCACUUGACCACCAACAACACCGCUCUAGGUGGCCUGGCUCCUGACCUGGUGGCCUGAGGCUGAGCGGGCCGGCUCCUGCUUCCCCCACCCUGUACCUCAGCCCCUGUGUGGCCACCUGCAUUCUUCCCCCCUCUCCCAGUAGUGCCAUGUUUGGUGGCAACUGAGGAACCUCUUUUUAUAAACCGUGAGGAGUU